UGCGAGUUGGAGAAGUCCGGUAUCUCGUUAGCCUCAUAAGCUAAAGGUCGGUGGUUCAAAUCCACCACUCGCAU
rnacentral:tRNA from 1 species